ensembl:lncRNA
GGGGUCCAGGAAGCCUGGACGCUCUUCAAGACGGAAAUCUUAAAGGCACAGGAGGAACAAGGGAAGUGGCGGGGGUGAUUGCUGAGCUGUUUUCCGCCAUCUACCAGGGCUCCUGGUUAUCUGGAGAGGUUCCAGAGGAUUGGAGGCUUGCCGAUGUGACUCCCGUCUACAAGAAGGGCCGUAAGGAGAAUGUGGGGAACUACAGGACUGUGAGCCUGACCUCGGUACCAGGGAACGUUAUGGAGCAAAUCAUUUUGGGCACUGUUUUGUCCUUUGACUUGGGAAGUUGGACGUUUGAUUGAAUCCAGCUUGCAGUUCUUGCCAGCAGUGCAAUGGCCAGAAGAAGAAUUAGUAUGGAAGAAUUAUUCACGAAUGGAAGAAUGAGGCACUACUGCUUUUUGGGUAUCUGCUGAAUGACAGAUUCAAGAAGCAGUCUGGCUCAAGACUCAGUCUUUUGUUUUACAAGGAGCUCCAUUACCGGAUCUCUUAAGGCUCACAGUCUACUUAUAAGUUGCUUGGUUCUCCAGAUUUGAUUCUUGGUGAACUUGACAAGUCUUCCUUGGGCCAGUACCCUACUGGGCUGGUGAUGGAUGGCAUCGGAUAAGAAGCCCUGUUCUGCAGGAAGCCAAGGUUUGUUUAUUUUGCUCAAGAAACAUGGAAGACAACAAGGAGUUUUUGGGUUGAGGAAGAAAGGAAGAAAGGUCUACCUAUGAUCCUGCUAACUUUGUACAGGUUUUGAGAGGCCCAUCUGUGCAGGGACUUCAUUGGUCCUCAUUUGCCUGCUAUCAUAUUGUAGUCUGCACCAGACCUCAGACCUGCAAUACCGCAAGAAAUAGAAGUACAGUGAUUGUCUCCACUUACAGUCAGUGGCUAUCAAUGAAUGUUGCACUUUGAAUGAAUUCAGAGUAAACUGGCAGAAAUGUUAAGAAAGGACAGUAAGGACCACGACUCCACAAAUGGACUUAGGACUAUGACUGGGCUUGCCUGACACCAGAUCUGUGCCCUGCUCAAGUCAGAGAUCUCUGAAGGGAGGAGGCUUGCUGUGAACCAGCAAACAGAAAAGUGCAACAAGAAACUUUGCUACGGAUUAACCAAUGUGCAUUGACCACACGUGGCAAUGUCCAGGAAUGACAGAACCAUCACCUCCCACCACAGCGUCCCCACGGUCCCUCGUCGGCAGGCAGGCGAGUGGUCAAGGAGCGUCCAUUCUGCGUGAGCUGAUGGAUGGGUCUCAGUGGAAGGAUGGUCCUUCCUUCAUGUCAUUCAUGAUCGCUUUGUGAAUUUCCGAUAUGGUAGCAGAGGUGCAUUCCUUUUGUAGCUAUUCAGUUUCAAAUGCUUUAUUUUUUUUGUGUGUUGUUUUUUUUUUUUUCCUCUCCAGGUUUUUAUAAGCUUCCUGCUGUCAAAAUACAGUUCUUAAUUGCUUUUGUAGAAAUAAUCCUGAAGGGCAGAGGCAUUUAAAAUCCUCCCAAAUCCUCAGUAUAUUAACAGCAGCAAAAAAGAUAGCUGGGCUGUUCAAAAAUAUCACCAGUAACACGAGUGCCGUCUGCAUUGGCAAGUGUACAAACAGCAGUAAGUAGUAACAAAAGAAACAUCAUCUGAGCAAUAACCCAUUCCCUCCAUUUCUCCCAUGAAAAAAAAAAAAGUUUUCACAAAAUAUUUCUCCUCCCCUCAGUCCAGUGUCUGUGAAUCACAUACAUUCAAAAGCUGCAGUUACUCUGUAGGCCAGUUUUUCCAAGAUGAGCUUUUAAAACCAGUUGUUUUGCCCAAUUUCUCUAUAACAGGGUCACAAAUGGGAUUAUCCGAGCGGUGCCUUUUCUGCUAACCGAACACCUUGAAAUGUGAAAGCAAAACUAAGGACCUAAGGGUAAAAGGAGGUUUUAAAGCCCAUUAUGCUCCUCUGAACUAAUCCUCCCUUGGGAAGAAAGUCCUGCUAAUUUCAGUGGAACCACUCUCACAAACCAAGGAUUAGCGUCACAGGAUCAGCCCUGCUGGGUGCUCAGGGAUGCUGAAUGAGGUGUCACAGCGCGAGCACUGGGCUGGCAAUGCACAGAUCCCAGGUAAAGGGAAAACCCCACACCUUGGCCACACAGCGGCGUUACAGCAGGGAAGGAGAUAGGAAGGAAGGAUGGGGUGGGUGCUAAGCACAGACUACAGGUUUUGUAAGAGUGAGCUGGGGUGGUUGUAGGUUCAGCCUUUUGCCAUGCAGAUCAGUGGUAUAGC